rnacentral:rRNA from 1 species
CCUACGGGAGGCAGCAGUGAGGAAUAUUGGUCAAUGGGCGCUAGCCUGAACCAGCCAAGUAGCGUGAAGGAUGACUGCCCUAUGGGUUGUAAACUUCUUUUAUAUGGGAAUAAAGUGCAGUAUGUAUACUGCUUUGCAUGUACCUUAUGAAUAAGGAUCGGCUAACUCCGUGCCAGCAGCCGCGGUAAUACGGAGGAUCCGAGCGUUAUCCGGAUUUAUUGGGGUUAAAGGGAGCGUAGGCGGGUUGUUAAGUCAGUUGUGAAAGUUUGCGGCUCAACCGUAAAAUUGCAGUUUAUACUGGCAUCCUGUAGUACAGUAGAGGUAGGCGGAAUUCGUGGUGUAGCGGUGAAAUGCGUAGAUAUUAGGAGGAACACCAGUGGCGAAGGCGGCCUACUGGACGGUGACUGACGCUGAGGCUCGAAAGCGUGGGGAGCAAACAGGAUUAGAUACCCGGGUAGUC